UUGUUUUUAAAUACUGGAAAUUGAAUACAUAUUGUAAACAAUAAACGGAUUCCUUGUAUCUAGAUGAAAACAAAGAUAACGUGUUGUUUACAAGUCGUAUGCACUAGAUAACCAUACUGCUCUGUUAACUUUAUUUCGAAAUACACUAGCGUGAAUUUCCUUUAUACAAACAAAGGAUAACGUCAUUUUACGAAACGGUUUCAAGGCGAUAAGAACUGGACAUAAAAGUGUUAAUACAUAAACAAAGACAUAAAAGUGUUAAUACAUAAACAAGGACAUAAAAGUGUUAAUACAUAAACAAGGACAUAAAAGUGUUAAUACAUAAACAAGGACAUAAAAGUGUUAAUACAUACACAAGAAGAACCUGUUCUUGUUCAGCUAUAUUCUUUAAUAUUAAAAAAUACAGCAGACACAAGGAUCAGACAAUGGAUGACGGAUGUGGUGGUUCGUCUGGCUGUGACAGUGGGUUUGGUGGCGCCAGCUCUUGUGAACCAGACAGUUUCUCUGGCGGCUGUUCAACCGCUUUUUCUACAGACGACACAUUUGGAAGUUCAUCGUUUGGUCAUAGCGGUCUUCCCCAUUCGACUUUUGGACAUUCAGUUGUGCCAUCACACACAGGAUUUAGUUCAGGAAACCAUGUUGUACAUAUGCAGCAUGCCCCAACAGCAAACAAGGCGUGUUCAACUUUGUGCUGUAUCAUUGUAGCUCUAGUGUUCAUUGCUGCGUUUGUGGCGAUCUUUUUCAUUUCAAUGAAUAGGUUUUGAUGGACAAAGCUUGGAUGACACAUAACUGGUUUUAUAUUCUAAUAAACUUUGACACAAAGGAACGACGAGACUAAAAUGUGUUCGUGCAAACAUCCACCUGUGUAUUACGGGCUGGGGCUCUUUAAAAAGAUGUAGGCCGUGUGCGCUACAAGGUGCAUUGUCUGGCAGUACCCGUGUGCGCUAUAAGGUGCAUUGUCUGGCAGUAGCCGUGUGCGCUACAAGGUGCAUUGUCUGGCAGUACCCGUGUGCGCUACAAGGUGCAUUGUCUGGCAGUAGCCGUGUGCGCUACAAGGUUCAUUGUCUGGCAGUAGCCGUGUGCGCUACAAGGUGCAUUGUCUGGCAGUAGCCGUGUGCGCUACAAGGUGCAUUGUUUGGCAGUAGCCGUGUGCGCUACAAGGUGCAUUGUCUGGCAGAAGCCGUGUGCGCUACAAGGUGCAUUGUCUGGCAGAAGCCGUGUGCGCUACAAGGUUCAUUGUCUGGCAGUAGCCGUGUGCGCUACAAGGUUCAUUGUCUGGCAGUAGCCGUGUGCGCUACAAGGUUCAUUGUCUGGCAGUAGCCGUGUGCGCUACAAGGUUCAUUGUCUGGCAGUAGCCGUGUGCGCUACAAGGUUCAUUGUCUGGCAGUAGCCGUGUGCCCUACAAGGUUCAUUGUCUGGCAGUAGCCGUGUGCGCUACAAGGUUCAUUGUCUGGCAGUAGCCGUGUGCGCACAAGGUUCAUUGUCUGGCAGUAGCCGUGUGCGCUACAAGGUUCAUUGUCUGGCAGUAGCCGUUUGCGCUACAAGGUUCAUUGUCUGGCAGUAGCCGUUUGCGCUACAAGGUUCACUGUCUGGCAGUAGUCGUUUGCGCUACAAGGUGCACUGUCUGGCAGUAGCCGUGUGCGCUACAAGGUGCAUUGUCUGGCAGUAGCCGUGUGCGCUACAAGGUGCAUUGUCUGGCAGAAGACGUGUGCGCUACAAGGUUCAUUGUCUGGCCGUAGCCGUGUGCGCUACAAGGUUCAUUGUCUAGGUAGCCCUGUGUGAUUGACUGGUGGAACCUAUAUUGUUUAUAUUGGUGUUAUCGAAGAACUGCAUCCACAGUAGAGUGAUCACAACGGUUUGCGUACUUUUUGUUAUACAUUUUGAACACCCUUUAACGCGCAUCUUUGUGUACUGUAUAUUUGAAUAUUUCAGUAUGUAAGUAGCAUUGUCCUUUAGUUUUUAAUUCCUUAUCUCUUUUUAAAAGUCUCAUCAACCUUAUUUUGAAGAAAUAGUCUAUAGUCUAAUGGUUAAUAAAUAUAUGUUUUGUACGUAAUUAUUUGUGUUAAGCAGAAUAAUUAAUUUGAUUGUGAUUAUUCAUCUUCGUUUGAAGACUGUGUGUCCUUAUACUUACACUUUCUCUCUACCUUCUGUGAUAUGUAUAUUUUGAUACUGAUAAUGUCUGUGUUAAAUAAAAUAAACA